rnacentral:rRNA from 1 species
UGACGCGAGCUACAGGCUCAACACAUGCAAGUCGAGGGGCAGCAUGAAUAUUGGCUUGCCAAUAUUUGAUGGCGACCGGCGCACGGGUGAGUAACACGUAUCCAACCUUCCGGUUACUCGGGGAUAGGCUUUCGAAAGAAAGAUUAAUACCCGAUGUUGCGUAUCUUUCUCCUGAAAGAUACGCCAAAGGAUUCCGGUAACCGAUGGGGAUGCGUUCCAUUAGGCAGUUGGCGGGGUAACGGCCCACCAAACCUUCGAUGGAUAGGGGUUCUGAGAGGAAGGUCCCCCACAUUGGAACUGAGACACGGUCCAACUCCUACGGGAGGCACAGUGAGGAAUAUUGGGUCAAUGGGACCGGAAGUCUUGAACCAGCCCAGUUAGCCGUGAAAGGAUGACUGCCCUUCUUGGGGUUUGGAAACUUUCUUUUUAUACCGGGGAAUUACCAUUGAAGGUACC